AAUGCUGCAGAGUAGAAGUUCCAAGGCCAACGGAACGGAACUGGAUAUUGAAGUCUCUGAUGGUGGUUUCUCUGUAUAUUGCAGGUUUCUCUUCUGAUAUCAACUCCUUGAUAGGUCUAUACAAUUUGGAGGUUUGAAAAUGAAGCGUCGAGAAAACCCCUGCCACUGAUACUCUCGCAUCCUCCUUGUUUGCAAGAACUCUGUGCUUAACGCUUUUGAAUUUGUCAUUUGUUAUUAGCUGCAUAAGAUCUCCGAUGUUCACCACUAAAGCUCCAGCGACCGGGGGCACGUCGACCCAGUUGUUCUCAUACCGAAUCUGAAGGCCGCCGAUAUGGUCUUGCAAUAGCACAGUGAUAAAGUCAUUGUCAGUAUGCUCUGAUGUGCCGAUGGCUAAAUUCGGCUGUGGGCAUGGUGGGUAGUAGUGGCAUACAAGUGCAAGUCCUUCAUUGCAGUCUAUAUCUUUCAAAUAAUUUGGAUUCAAGUCAAGAGCUUCCGACAGCAAUUCAAACAGUAAAUUCCCAAUCUCCAUCACUCGUUUUGAGUAAUCCACAAGAACAUCUCUGCAAAACACAGAGGUUAGUUAUUAGUAAAAGGGGGGGUGUUCCUUUUUCUUCUUUUAAUAAUCAAAAUUAGUAUCUUUACCUGCAAAUUUCCGGCAGGUCUUGCGGACUGUGGGGACUUGGGGCACUGAUAUAGCCAAAGCUAUCCCUCCAAUUGGUGAUGGCUGCAGAGUACAGAUCGAAAUUACUAUUGUAAAUCAAAGGUUUGGUGAGGUCGCGAGUGUAAUAUUGUUUCUUGGAUUCGGUUU
rnacentral:lncRNA from 1 species